rnacentral:rRNA from 1 species
AUGUCUCGUAUAGAGGCUAUCUCAGACCAUGCACCCAUCCUCUUAUCUACUGGAUUGCCACGACCACAGCACAGACGCAAGUUCAAGUUCGAACUGGGUUGGUGGCAUCGGGAUGGAUUCCGAGACAUGGUCAAGGAGGUGUGGGAUAAACCGGUUGCCGGACAUACCCCAAUUCACAAAUGGAACAACAAAAUGUGUGCUUUACGUAAGUUCCUUCGUGGUUGGGCUAGGCACACUGCGGGUAUCCUCAAAAAAUAAAAGCUUCGUCUUUCAUCUAUUAUUGAUGAUUUAGAAGCUUUGGCAGAGAUUAGACCUCUCUCUGAGCAUGAAAUAGAGAUCAAGAGUCAAUCGAAUGCCCAGUUAGCUCGCAUGGUACAUGAAGAGGAACUUAAGUGGUACCAGCAUUCAAAAUCUCAGUUUAUCCUAAAAGGUGAUUCGAAUACGAGAUAUUUCCAUGGUGUCGCCAAUGGUAGACACCGAAAGAAACUUAUUCAUUCCCUACAUCAGGAGGAGGGCACGAUUGAAGGGCAUGAGCAACUUAAGUCUUAUAUAAAUAAUUAUUACAAAAAUCUAUUCGGAACCCCUAAGAAAGGAAACUUCUCGAUGGAUGAGUCUCGAAUAGAUGACGUCCCGCAAGUUUCUGAUGCGGAAAAUAGCCUUCUAACAGCUCCAUUUUCUGAGGAGGAAGUUAGAAAGGCGGUUUUCCUAAUGGAGCACAACAAAGCUCCGGGUCCAGAUGGUUUUCCCGCUGAGUUCUACCAAAACUUUUGGGAUGUCAUCAAACAUGAUCUCCUACUCUUGUUUGGCUGCCUUCACGUUGGCCAACUAGAGUUGUUUCGAUUAAACUUCGGUGAAAUUAUUUUAUGUCGGGGAAACGACACCUAUGAGAUCACGAGAAUCCCUACUAUGGUUGGCGGGGCGCGGGGUUGUGAGAAGAGCAGGUUUAGGAGCUAG